rnacentral:rRNA from 1 species
CCGCAAUGGGCGAAAGCCUGACGGAGCAAGACCGCGUGGGGAGGAAGGUUCUUGGAUUGUCAACCCCUUUUCUCAGGGAAGAAGAAAGUGACGGUACCUGAGGAAGAAGCAUCGGCUAACUCCGUGCCAGCAGCCGCGGUAAUACGGGGGAUGCAAGCGUUAUCCGGAAUGAUUGGGCGUAAAGAGUCCGUAGGUGGCAUUUCAAGUCUGCUGUUAAAGAGCGAGGCUUAACUUCGUAAAAGCAGUGGAAACUGAAGAGCUAGAGUGUAGUAGGGGCAGAGGGAAUUCCUGGUGUAGCGGUGAAAUGCGUAGAGAUCAGGAAGAACACCGGUGGCGAAAGCGCUCUGCUGGGCUACAACUGACACUGAGGGACGAAAGCUAGGGGAGCGAAUGGGAUUAGAUACCCCAGUAGUCCUAGCGGUAAACGAUGGAAACUAGGUGUGGCCUGUAUCGACCCGGGCCGUGCCGAAGCAAACGCGUUAAGUUUCCCGCCUGGGGAGUACGCACGCAAGUGUG